AGCCAGACUCCUACGGGAGGCAGCAGUGGGGAAUAUUGCACAAUGGGGGAAACCCUGAUGCAGCGACGCCGCGUGAGCGAUGAAGUAUUUCGGUAUGUAAAGCUCUAUCAGCAGGGAAGAAAAUGACGGUACCUGAGUAAGAAGCCCCGGCUAACUACGUGCCAGCAGCCGCGGUAAUACGUAGGGGGCAAGCGUUAUCCGGAUUUACUGGGUGUAAAGGGAGCGUAGACGGCGAUGCAAGCCAGAUGUGAAAGCCCGGGGCUCAACCCCGGGACUGCAUUUGGAACUGUGUGGCUGGAGUGUCGGAGAGGCAGGCGGAAUUCCUAGUGUAGCGGUGAAAUGCGUAGAUAUUAGGAGGAACACCAGUGGCGAAGGCGGCCUGCUGGACGAUGACUGACGUUGAGGCUCGAAAGCGUGGGGAGCAAACAGGAUUAGAUACCCUCGUACC
rnacentral:rRNA from 1 species